rnacentral:rRNA from 1 species
AGGAUAAACGCUGGCGGCGUGCCUAACACAUGCAAGUCGAACGUCCUACGCAAGUAGGGAGUGGCGGACGGGUGAGUAACACGUGGGCAAUCUACCUUUCGGUGAGGAAUACCGGCGAGAAAUCGCCGACAAUACCGCAUACGCUUCGCAAGAAGCAAAGUCGCAAGACGCCGGAGGAGGAGCCUGCGCCCGAUUAGCUGGUUGGUGGAGUAAUGGUCUACCAAGGCGACGAUCGGUAGCUGGUCUGAGAGGAUGAUCAGCCACACUGGGAUUGAGAACGGCCCAGACUCCUACGGGGGGCAGCAGUGAGGAAUUUUCCGCAAUGGGCGAAAGCCUGACGGAGCAACGCCGCGUGAGUGAUGAAGACCUUCGGGUUGUAAAGCUCUGUCGGAGGGAAGAACACAAUGACGGUACCCUCCAAGAAAGCCCCGGCUAACUACGUGCCAGCAGCCGC